rnacentral:rRNA from 1 species
UACGAAGGGUGCAAGCGUUAAUCGGAAUUACUGGGCGUAAAGGGUGCGUAGGCGGUUGUUUAAGUCUGUCGUGAAAUCCCCGGGCUCAACCUGGGAAUGGCGAUGGAUACUGGGCAGCUAGAGUGUGUCAGAGGAUGGUGGAAUUCCCGGUGUAGCGGUGAAAUGCGUAGAGAUCCGGAAGAACACCGGAGGCGAAGGCGGCUGGCUGGGCCUGAUCUGACGCUGAGGUGCGAAAGCGUGGGGAGCGAACAGG